rnacentral:lncRNA from 1 species
AGCGAUUCUCCUGCCCCAGCCUCCCAAGUAGCUGGGACUACAGGCUAAUGGAAUGCUAAGGCCAGAACUGUACCCUACCAACCUCAGAUGUGGAAACAGAGGUUCUUGAAGGACAAGACUUGCCUAAGGUCUCACUAACCAAACGGUCCUUCCACGACCUAUUCUAUGAUGGCACAUGCCAAUGGAGGGCAAUUUUUCAUCCAGGAAUGUGACUCUCAGGGAAGUUCUCUGUCCUAUGAAAGGUAUGCCACUUGGUGCAUGAUGGGGACCACACAAGAUGACAAGAAGGGUAGGCAGUGUCUGUCAUCUCCACCCUCCCCAGCUUGUUUGAGGCCCAACAUCUGGGGUGUUGUGGAAGAAGAAUCAGGUUCUAUUGAUGUUUCCCCUGGCCUAAUGGCCCCUCCUCAAUCCCAGCGGUAUAUCCCCCAUGGAGGAAAGCUGUAAAGAAGCUCCAACAUUUAGUUGAGAAUGUUCAUUGCCCCUUCUUAAAAGACUAAGGGGACGGGUGUGGUGGCUCAUGCCUGUAAUCCCAGCACUUUGGGAGGCCAAGGCGGGCAGAUCACCUGCGGUCAGGAG